UGGGGAAUUUUGGACAAUGGGCGCAAGCCUGAUCCAGCAAUGCCGCGUGCAGGAUGAAGGCCUUCGGGUUGUAAACUGCUUUUGUACGGAACGAAACGGCGAGCUCUAAUACAGUUUGCUAAUGACGGUACCGUAAGAAUAAGCACCGGCUAACUACGUGCCAGCAGCCGCGGUAAUACGUAGGGUGCAAGCGUUAAUCGGAAUUACUGGGCGUAAAGCGUGCGCAGGCGGUUAUGUAAGACAGAUGUGAAAUCCCCGGGCGUAACCUGGGAACUGCAUUUGUGACUGCAUAGCUAGAGUACGGUAGAGGGGGAUGGAAUUCCGCGUGUAGCAGUGAAAUGCGUAGAUAUGCGGAGGAACACCGAUGGCGAAGGCAAUCCCCUGGACCUGUACUGACGCUCAUGCACGAAAGCGUGGGGAGCAAACA
rnacentral:rRNA from 1 species